CAAUCUGUUCAUAAUUCUUCUGAAUUUCUAAAGAAAGAUGAAAGGAGUAAAAGAGGAGGCAACUGAAACAGCACUCAAAUGUGUAUAACAAUAUGGAAUGCCUUCAAAAAUCAUGUGCCAAUAAUGAAAAUUCUGAAGAAAUACCACAGGCACAGGCAAUGCACCUGUGUUAUCAUUAUUCAUUUCGUAAUUUUUAUAGAAAGUAAUUUUGUUUUAUGGAAGAGGGUUGAGUUAAGAAAACAAUCUGUCGUGAGUGUUAAGCAUGGGAGUUAUGCUGCUGAUCCUGCCUCUCUGCUUGGGAUACGUGGGCCAGGUGCCCAGGUGGUGGGUCUUGGGCUGGGAGCAGGUGUGGAAAGGUCAUUUCCCCUGGGAUCCUCUCUGAACUGGGACCUGCUCCCUGGACAAGGGGCUUCUAGUCAAGCUCUCUUGUUGCAAGGAGCAGACACCCAUUUCAGCUGGCUUGAGUCAAUGGUGUUCAGAAUCCUUUUCCAUUGCUGUGUCCCCUCCUUUCCUGGAACAUGACAUGGAGGCUGGCAGGGGAGACCCAGGGAAUGUCACCAGUCUCUGGGGUUGCCCCAGCGUGGAGCAGCCUCUCUUUCCACUUUUAGGCGGGCAGGUUGGGUCACCUAGCACAGGUGAACAGCACAGAGUGUCUUCUGAGGCCCUGUGGGAAAUAAUUAAUUCAAUGAACAAUUUAUGUAUGUUUAUUCUUCAGGGCCAGGCCUUGUGCUGGGUACCACGAGGUAAAAGUCAGACAAGAUUCCAUGUCUGUCCUCCUGGGGGAGCUAUGACACACGUGAGUGUGACGGGAAUUGGAGGAAGGGAGGGGAACUCUAAGAGGGAGGCAGGAACCCCACGAGGGAGGUCAUCUUUUCUCUACUAACUGUGCCUCAGAGAAGAAGCAGUUCCAUCUCUGGGAGCUACCUAGGCCAAGAUGGGCACCCUGAAACAGUGCCUUUUUCUGUGAAAAAGGAAGAACUUGACCCAACUCAAUGAAAUGCCUUACACUCAGUACCCCCAAGUAAAGACCUAGCCUUGUUCUGUGCUGAACUUGCCUGGAGCACUCUCCAGGUAGUGGGGGCACAAUCUGCAGAGGCUAGUACAGCACUGAGAGGCAUUUGUGAGUAUUUUCUGUGAUACCCUUUUCCACACCAAUAAUUGAUAGACUAACCUCAAAUUCUUCUUAUUUGUUCAUUAUUGUAAAUCCCCCAAGGGCUCACUAUGCAACU